rnacentral:lncRNA from 1 species
AGGAGGGGCCGUGCGGCGCCUGCCCGGGGGCCCUCAGGCCGCAGGCGGGCGCGAGCUUCAGGGAACUUAGGGGGCUCCCGCCUCCCCGGCCACGCGAGCGGGAACAGUCUCCUCCACUCGGAGCGCCACUCAUCAUGCCUUACCUGGAUGAUGCAGAAGUCCCUGGAAACAGAAGGUCUCACCCUUCUUUAUCUUUCUCAUGGCUUUCCAAGGCUCUUUAUCAUGUUACUUUCCUGCUCAGAAUUCUUUAAUGACUUGCCUCAAUGACCAGAUACAUGUGAUCUACAGUCAGCCUUCCAGCCUCAUCAUUCCUCUUCCAUUUCCUCCCCAGAAACACUGUACUUUAUGAAGCUCCUCCAAGACAUUAUAGAUCCAGACUCCUGUGCCUGACCACUGCCCAUGGCCAACUCUCUGCUGAUGACUGGACUUGACUACACAAGUUGUUGGCCAUCUUAAAACCACUCAAAGUUGACGGUCUCCUCUCCUGCCUCCUGCGGCUUCCAUUACCAUGGCAGAGACUGUGGUGUCUGAGGUGGUGUAGCGUACUGAAGCAAGGCUGUCUUGAAGAAGAGGAGACAACUC